AACGAACGCUGGCGGCAUGCCUAACACAUGCAAGUCGAACGAGACCUUCGGGUCUAGUGGCGCACGGGUGCGUAACGCGUGGGAACCUUCCCUUAGGUUCGGAAUAACUCCCCGAAAGGGGUGCUAAUACCGGAUAACUUCUUCUGACCACAGAUUUAUCGCCUUUGUAUGGGCCCGCGUUGGUUUAGCUAGUUGGUAGGGUAAAAGCCUACCAAGGCGACGAUCCAUAGCUGGUCUGAGAGGAUGAUCAGCCACACUCGGACUGAGACACGGCCGAGACUAUUACGGGAGGGAGGAGUGGGGAAUAUUGGAAAAUGGGGGAGAGGAUGAUCCAGCUAUGCCGCGUGAGUGAUGAAGGCGUUAGGGUUGUAAAGCUCGUUUACCCGGGAUGAUAAUGACAGUACCGGGAGAAUAAGCUCCGGCUAACUCCGUG
rnacentral:rRNA from 1 species